UACGUAGGGGGCAAGCGUUGUCCGGAUUUAUUGGGCGUAAAGAGCGUGUAGGCGGCCAGGUAGGUCCGUUGUGAAAACUGGAGGCUUAACCUCCAGCUGUCGAUGGAAACCAUCUGGCUAGAGUCCGGAAGAGGAGAGUGGAAUUCCUGGUGUAGCGGUGAAAUGCGCAGAUAUCAGGAAGAACACCCGUGGCGAAGGCGGCUCACUGGCCCGGUACUGACGCUGAGGCACGAAAGCGUGGGGAGCAAACAGG
rnacentral:rRNA from 1 species